GAUGAAGAACGUAGUGAAAUGCGAUACUUGGUGUGAAUUGCAGAAUCCCGUGAACCAUCGAGUCUUUGAACGCAAGUUGCGCCCGAAGCCAUUAGGCCGAGGGCACGCCUGCCUGGGUGUCACACACCGUUACCCUCGCGCCAACGUCCAUCGUUGGCCGCGGCGCGGGGCGUGCGCUGACCUCCCGCGAGCGGGGUCUCGUGGUUGGUUGAAAAUCGAGUUCGCGGUCGAGGGUGCCGUGAUGAAAUGGUGGAUGGGCGACGCCCGAGGCCAAUCACGCGCGACUCUGUCCGGCUCGGCUUUCAACGCGACCCCAGGUCAGGCGGGGUUACCCGCUGAAUUUAAGCAUAUCAAUAAGCGGAGGA
rnacentral:misc_RNA from 1 species